rnacentral:rRNA from 1 species
CAGUAGCCGCGGUAAUACGAAGGGUGCAAGCGUUAAUCGGAAUUACUGGGCGUAAAGCGUGCGUAGGCGGUUUGUUAAGUCUGCUGUGAAAUCCCCGGGCUCAACCUGGGAAUGGCAGUGGAUACUGGCAAGCUAGAGUGUGUCAGAGGAUGGUGGAAUUCCCGGUGUAGCGGUGAAAUGCGUAGAGAUCGGGAGGAACAUCAGUGGCGAAGGCGGCCAUCUGGGACAACACUGACGCUGAGGCACGAAAGCGUGGGGAGCAAACAGGAUUAGAUACCCGAGUAGUCCCUGUCUCUUAUAA